GGACGUGAGGGUGAUCUGACUGCAACAUCUGUCACCCCACUAAUCACCAGGUUGGAUUUGGCUGGUCCGGCUAGCCAGGCAGGUGUCCCCUUCCUCCCUCACCGCUCCAUGGCCCCGUGUGUGGCCCUCCUGAAGCUGCCAACUACCCCAGACAGAGAAGGGCUGCUUCCUUGGUCAAGGGGAUAGGAGAAGCCGCGCUCCCCUGCUAGAACCCCCAAACAAGCUCCCAAACUUCAUGCCAAAGAGCACACCUUUCUAGUUUUUUUGUUUGUUUGUUUGUUUCUUUUUGAGACAGGGUCUCACUAG
rfam:Fukomys damarensis contig135908, whole genome shotgun sequence.